rnacentral:misc_RNA from 1 species
GAGAAUGCGAUAUGCAAUGUGAAUUGCAGAACUACGAAUCAUUUGAUCUUUGAACGCAAAUGGCACUGACCAUAUCAGUAUACUUGUUUCAGUGUGCCUAACCAAAUUCUAACAAAAUGUAAGAGAAAACUCUCUUAUCAAAUAAAUGCUCCAAGUAGCAGUCACAUUUAUAUGUGAGCUAUUCUGGUGGCUUUCUGUCUUAUUCGCACCUGAAAUCAAGUAAGAUCACCCGCUGGACUUAA